rnacentral:lncRNA from 1 species
UGUCCGGAGGUGCAUUAUAGUCACGGCAGCUGACAACAAUCCCGCCUAGAACCUCUAGACACGGUCCUGUUGUGUUUCACGGAUUACCUUUAUCAAAAUGUGCAAACUGUUGUUGCUGAUCGUCGCCGCUGUGCUGCUGGUAGCCUCGGCGGCUGCCAAACCACAGUUUGUGUACGACUACAGCUACUACGCGCCGGCCUACGUCUCCGCCUACAGCGCUCCCCUGACGUACUCCUACCCUUACGCCUACGCUUACUCUUACCCUUACGCCUUCUACUAGACAUAGAAUAGGCAUGUGGCGUGCACUUCAUAGAUGUAAAUGUGUAAGUGGGCAAAAGUUCAAUACAUGUUUGUGCUAAGUCUACCCUGAAGACUUAGCACAAACGUGUAUUUAAGAAAUUUCAAAUUUUUAUAAUUUGUACUACCUACCUCGGUUAAUAACCUUGUGCACGCCACUGCUAGGUGUAGAAAAAAUACGUCACUAUAGCAACUUGUUGCAAUUUUAAUCAUUACAUCAUUGUGAUACUAAUUAACAUAUUUAAGUCCUAUUAAAUAUCAUUGCUACAAACGAAUCUUAUAAGUUAUCUACAAACUUAGUAGUAUCUAUGUACUUACUUUGUCUAGUCAUCUAUUUCAUUUAAAAGAAUGAUUAAUUCACUAAAGUAGAAUGGUAAUUUUAUGAAUACCUAAUUCCUCGUUUAUUUUUCAUACACUUUCCUAAUAAUUGUUUGUUAAAAAUCCAUUCUUACUACAAUAUAUAUUAUAUUAUGAACAAAGUAUCAAUACAUUAA